AAGAAAAGGGUCUAGACCCCACACACGCCACUCGGUAAGGAAUUGGGCCUAUAGCUCAGCUGGCUAGAGCACACGACUGAUAAUCGUGAGGUCAGUGGUUCGAGUCCACUUGGGCCCACCAAAUGGGGCUGUAGCUCAGUUGGGAGAGCACCUGCUUUGCAAGCAGGGGGUCACCGGUUCGAGACCGGUCAGCUCCACCACAGGGAUGGAAGGCCCGCAAAGAGCGCGGGCUGGUCGCUGGGGAAGCGGUAUGGAAGUGAUUUGGGAUUGGAUUUUUAGUGUGUAGUGCUGAAUGACGCUUUACGGAUGUAGGAAGUUAAAAGGCGCUAUUGAUCACUGCCCACUCGGAAGAUUUGAGUGCGUUAGUUUGUUCUUUGACAGUUGAGGAAGGGAAGGCCAUGUUUGCCAUCUUGCCGAUGGCGGACCUCCAGGUGGAUGCUUGGGGAUAUAU
rnacentral:tRNA from 1 species